AUACGUGGAUGGAUUUGAUUGCUUGCAACCACAUUAAAAAAUUGCUAAAA
rnacentral:ncRNA from 1 species